rnacentral:pre_miRNA from 1 species
UUGUUGAUGCUGUUGUUGGUGUUUCUUUUCAAAAACCAACAACAGUAGCAGCAACA